UGAAGUUGAGGAACUUAUUUGAUGUAUCAACAUGAAAUAAGGAGAUCACUGGGAGAAAUUACAAAUCAGGAGUCCAGUGGGAGACUGCAGCCCUGAUCGGGAGUGUUGGCAGGUGGGCGCUCUGCAAUGGAUCAGUGUGAGGACAGAGAGGAGGGAGCUCCUCCCUCUAAAACCACUCUGUGUGGGGAACAUGAAGCUCAGAGCCCAGAGCAGCAUGGAACAGACUCUCCUGGACCUGGAUCCAGC